GCACUGCUGAGGAGUCCCACAAUAGGACGAAACGGCCGUCCAGUUC
rfam:Schistosoma curassoni strain Dakar, Senegal genome assembly, scaffold: SCTD_contig0003454